rnacentral:rRNA from 1 species
UACGUAGGGUGCAAGCGUUGUCCGGAAUUAUUGGGCGUAAAGAGCUCGUAGGCGGUUUGUCGCGUCGAAUGUGAAAACCCGGGGCUCAACCCCGGGCCUGCAUUCGAUACGGGCAGACUAGAGUUCGGUAGGGGAGUCUGGAAUUCCUGGUGUAGCGGUGAAAUGCGCAGAUAUCAGGAGGAACACCGGUGGCGAAGGCGGGACUCUGGGCCGAUACUGACGCUGAGGAGCGAAAGCGUGGGGAGCAAACAGGAUAGAAACCC